GGAGUUUCGGAGGCGGUGACCGUGACGUAGAAGGUGGAGACCGCUUCACCCUGAUCAGGGAGGAUCGGCUGCGGGUGCGCAAGGCGUCCAGGAGUGACCUGGGGCUGUGGAGGGCGACCCGUGGCCUUGUGUUUCAGAGUUUACCACCUAGGAUGACUUCAGUGACUAGAUCAGAGAUCAUAGAUGGUAAGUAUUGUAGUGAAAUUCAGUACCUCUUACCUUGGGUUCAGGCUUCUGAGCUAUACCCAAAUCUUUCCUGGCUCCUGGUAGAUUUGGAAUCACAUACUCAUUAUUUGCAGAGAUGUUUUCUUUAUGUUUCCACGAUCUAGGGGCAUACAUUUACUUUUUCCACUUUUUUGCACAAAUAGUUGUGGCGGGCUUGAUCUUGUAUUUUGACUUUUUUAUAACAAAUACUAGAAAAAGGACCAGUGAUGUCUAAGACUCAUGAUCAUCAAUUGGAAUCAAGUCUCAGUCCUGUGGAAGUGUUUGCUAAAACAUCUGCCUCCCUGGAGAUGAAUCAAGGCGUUUCAGAGGAAAGAAUUCACCUUGGCUCUAGCCCUAAAAAAGGGGGAAAUUGUGAUCUCAGCCACCAGGAAAGACUUCAGUCGAAGUCCCUUCAUUUGUCUCCUCAAGAACAAUCUGCCAGUUAUCAAGACAGGAGGCAAUCCUGGCGGCGAGCAAGUAUGAAAGAAACGAACCGGCGGAAGUCGCUGCAUCCCAUUCACCAGGGCAUCACAGAGCUCAGCCGGUCUAUCAGUGUCGAUUUAGCAGAAAGCAAACGGCUUGGCUGUCUCCUGCUUUCCAGUUUCCAGUUCUCUAUUCAGAAACUUGAACCUUUCCUAAGGGACACUAAGGGCUUCAGUCUUGAAAGUUUUAGAGCCAAAGCAUCUUCUCUUUCUGAAGAAUUGAAACAUUUUGCAGACGGACUGGAAACUGAUGGAACUCUACAAAAAUGUUUUGAAGAUUCAAAUGGAAAAGCAUCAGAUUUUUCUUUGGAAGCAUCUGUGGCUGAGAUGAAGGAAUACAUAACAAAGUUUUCUUUAGAACGUCAGACUUGGGAUCAGCUCUUGCUUCACUACCAGCAGGAGGCUAAAGAGAUAUUGUCCAGAGGAUCAACUGAGGCCAAAAUUACUGAGGUCAAAGUGGAACCUAUGACAUGUCUUGGGUCUUCUCAGAAUGAAGUUCUUAAUACAAAACCUGACUACCAGAAAAUAUUACAGAACCAGAGCAAAGUCUUUGACUGUAUGGAGUUGGUGAUGGAUGAACUGCAAGGAUCAGUGAAACAGCUGCAGGCCUUUAUGGAUGAAAGUACCCAGUGCUUCCAGAAGGUGUCAGUACAGCUCGGGAAGAGAAGCAUGCAACAAUUAGAUCCCUCACCAGCUCGAAAACUGUUGAAGCUUCAGCUACAGAACCCACCUGCCACACAUGGAUCUGGAUCUGGAUCUUGUCAGUGACUUUAUGAGAGUUUCUGCCACAAGGUGCCCAAGAGGAGAGGAAUGGGAAGAGUGCCCCAGCACGUGGUGACUGCGUGAUUUCUGCUCGUUGCCUUUGAAGAUAACUGGCAGGACUGACUGUAGAACACUUUGACUUUUUUCAAAAAGUGAUGGAAUUUGUACAUCCAAAUGAAUAUUGUAUAGACAAUUUUCCCAGGAAUGUGCAAAAUGCUUGAAAGUUCAAACUUCUUUUUUGAAAUGAUCUUCAGAUCCAGUGGCCCAUUCUUUUAUCUUUAUCCUGUGAAGGUGUUUUUCAGGUUUUGAAACAAUCCAAAAAUCAUUUAGGACCAAGUCUAAGGAAACAUUUUAGUGGCCAAGUUGGAUUCUGAUUGUAAAGGAAUGAUACUAAUUUUCUAGCAUGGCUCUGAAGGUGAUUUUAGGUAGGAGAGUUUUGAGGCUGGGCGCAAUGGCUCACGCCUGUAAUCCUAGCACUUUGGGUGACUGAGGCGGGUGGAUUGCUUGAGCCCAGAAGUUGAAGACCAGCCUGAGAAAUAAGGUGAAACCCUGUCUACAAAAAAUACAAAAAGUUAGCUGGGUGUGGUGGCUUGUGCCUGUAGUGCUAGCUACUCAGAAGGCUGAGGUGGGAGGACUGUUUGAGCCCAGGAGGUUGAGGCUGCAGUGAGUUCUAAUUGCGCCACUGCACUCCAGCCUGAGUGACAGAGUGAGACACUGUCUUAAAAAAAAAUUAAAAAUUGUAAAAAAAUGAAAAAAAAAGUUUUGAGCAUUGUUUGCAUCAUUGGGAUACAUAUGUCACUUCACAAGAUGUUCAAUUUGAAGGAAAUACCACUCAUUCUCUAUGUCCUGUUGUCUGUAGUGUGCUUCAGUUUUUAAUAUUGAGUUGACCUCCUAAAUCCUGGAUUCAUGACAAGAAAGGAGUAAGUACUACUAUUCAUCAUUCUAUUUGUUUAUAAUCUGUAUUAUAAAAUUGCACAUAAUUAAAAGCUUUCCCUUGUCUUCG
rnacentral:sRNA from 1 species